AUCAGUAUUUCUCUGGGUUUUUGUAUUUAAGUUCAUAUAACACAUAGAAAAACACAUUCUAUUGAUAAACGGAAGUUUUCGGCUUCUCUGGUUGAAGACAGGAACAAAAGUUUAUUUGAUUCCACAAUUUUGUUGUUGUUGUUGUUGUUGACGGCUGUAACAGCAUAGUUAUGUAUCUAAAACAUCGUAGACGCUUAUUUCAUAUAAUUUUACAUCGAAGAAGGUGUUUAUGGUUAUAUCUGCAUGGUUUUACAUCGAAGAAGGUGUUUAUGGUUUUAUGUACAUAGUUUGACAUCGUAGAGGCUGACUGUAAUAUUUCUAGUCAGGCGGUGUUUUACUGUACCGGCGAAUUCGCUCGCACCUCUCUGUCUUGGCUGGACGACAAGUGAUCGUUAGACCAAUAUUUUGCAUUUUCGUCCGUUGUCAGAUCGGUUAAUAGAUAUUAUAUACAAUAAACAUAAUUUUGUUUCAGAUAUAUGAACAACAAUACAACUGUCAUAAAAUGCAUAGGAUAAGAAUUCCAAUGAAAGAUGUUCUUAAGUGUACUUCGUUGUGUCCCGCUGUCCAAAAUCGUCGCUUCGACAUCGCUAUUCUUAGGCGCCAAAUCAAACGUUGUCGUAUAACGGAGAAAGAACUCACAAAUGUUACAUACUUUUAAUAUACAAAUACAAACACACAAGUGAACGAGUGGAAUACCAAAGCCGAACUCUUCCCUGCACAUUUGAGAAUAGUAUAUAUAAAGACAACCUGUCAUAAGGACAUUUUAUAAUGUAUAUAUAUACACACGUUUUAGAGUAACAUAUAUUAAUCAUUUUGACAUAAGAUCAGUCCGCAUGUAUCCUGCACUAUAAUAUUCAUAAAUCAAAGUCAUGUUCCAUAGUGCACAUUAUGAAAUAAAAACCUUAAUAUAUGUAUAUACAUGUUGACUUGUCAUUCUAUUUGAAUAUAGCGUGUAUGAC